UGGUUAGCGGCGGACGGGUGAGUAACACGUGGGCAACCUGCCCGUAAGACGGGGAUAACUUCGGGAAACCGGAGCUAAUACCCGAUAACCCUGAAGACCGCAUGGUCUUUAGUUGAAAGGCGGCUUCGGCUGUCACUUACGGAUGGGCCCGCGGCGCAUUAGCUAGUUGGUGAGGUAACGGCUCACCAAGGCGACGAUGCGUAGCCGACCUGAGAGGGUGAUCGGCCACACUGGGACUGAGACACGGCCCAGACUCCUACGGGAGGCAGCAGUAGGGAAUCUUCCGCAAUGGACGAAAGUCUGACGGAGCAACGCCGCGUGAGCGAAGAAGGUCUUCGGAUUGUAAAGCUCUGUUGUUAGGGAAGAACAAGUGCGGUUCGAAUAGGGCCGUACCUUGACGGUACCUAACGAGAAAGCCACGGCUAACUACGUGCCAGCAGCCGCGGUAAUACGUAGGUGGCAAGCGUUGUCCGGAAUUAUUGGGCGUAAAGCGCGCGCAGGCGGUUCCUUAAGUCUGAUGUGAAAGCCCACGGCUCAACCGUGGAGGGUCAUUGGAAACUGGGGGACUUGAGUGCAGAAGAGGAGAGCGGAAUUCCACGUGUAGCGGUGAAAUGCGUAGAGAUGUGGAGGAACACCAGUGGCGAAGGCGGCUCUCUGGUCUGUAACUGACGCUGAGGCGCGAAAGCGUGGGGAGCAAACAGGAUUAGAU
rnacentral:rRNA from 1 species